GACGAACGCUGGCGGCGUGCUUAACACAUGCAAGUCGAACGGAGUGGCGAACGGGUGAGUAACACGUGGGUGAUCUGCCUUGCACUUCGGGAUAAGCUUGGGAAACUGGGUCUAAUACCGGAUAGUGCAAGAUGAGUGCGCGGCCUAUCAGCUUGUUGGUGGGGGAAUGGCCUACCAAGGCGUCGACGGGUAGCCGUCCUGAGAGGGGGUACGGCCACAUGGGGACUGAGAUACGGCCCAGACUCCUACGUGGGGCAGCAGUGGGGAGUAUUGCACAAUGGGCGGAAGUCUGAUGCAGCGACGCCGCGGGGGGGAUGAAGGCUUUCGGGUUGUAAACUCCUUGCGACAGGGACGCGGUACCUGUAUAAGAAGCACCGGCUAACUACGUGCCAGCAGCCGCGGUAAUAC
rnacentral:rRNA from 1 species